CAGUAAUUGAAAUAUUGACAGGUGGUUGCUUUGUGCCGAGCAUCAGGUUUUAAGAUCAGCUGCGCUCCUGUUGGACUCCACCUAGGAUGCUGCUGUCUUUAAUUAGCCAAGCUUCUGAGACAAACUAGACUGUGUGUGAUUUUUGGACAUCAGAGAAGAAAUACACAAUUUUUAAUGAGCUGGUGAAAUGGCAUCCCUUCCUUGGCCAGCAUCCCUUGAAAAAAGACAAUGAUUGGAUUUAAUGAAGAAGAAAAACAUAAGGAAUGGGACAAGGAAUUGGAGUUCACAUAAGUGUCCUUCAGACUGGGAACAGGGCAGGGCCCUGGGACUGCCACCCACUCCCUGCAAGACUGCUGCUGUCCCCAGGGAUGCAGGAGCUCAUGGCAGGGGCACACAGAGAAUCUGCAUUGGCCUCUGUGGGAAGAAACAUGUGGGAAGAGCAUGAUGAAACUAAGCUGUCCCUUUUUGGGGAAUGGUGC